AGUGAACGCUGGCGGUAGGCCUAACACAUGCAAGUCGAACGGCAGCACAGGAGAGCUUGCUCUCUAGGUGGCGAGUGGCGGACGGGUGAGGAAUACAUCGGAAUCUGCCCAGUCGUGGGGGAUAACGUAGGAAAACUUACGCUAAUACCGCAUACGACCUUCGGGUGAAAGAGGGGGAUCGCAAGACCUCUCGCGAUUGGAUGAGCCGAUGUCGGAUUAGCUAGUUAGCGGGGUAAUGGCCCACCAAGGCGACGAUCCGUAGCUGGUCUGAGAGGAUGAUCAGCCACACUGGAACUGAGACACGGUCCAGACUCCUACGGGAGGCAGCAGUGGGGAAUAUUGGACAAUGGGCGCAAGCCUGAUCCAGCCAUACCGCGUGGGUGAAGAAGGCCUUCGGGUUGUAAAGCCCUUUUGUUGGGAAAGAAAUCUUUCAGGCUAAUACCCUGGGAGGAUGACGGUACCCAAAGAAUAAGCACCGGCUAACUUCGUG
rnacentral:rRNA from 1 species